rnacentral:rRNA from 1 species
AACGUAGGAGACAAACGUUAUCCGGAGUUACUGGGCGUAAAGGGCGUGUAGGUGGUUUCGUAAGUCUGGCGUGAAAUUUCUCGGCUUAACCGGAGCAGGUCGUCGGAUACUGCGAACUUGAGGACGGUAGAGGCGUGUGGAAUUCCGGUGUAGUGGUGAAAUGCGUAGAGAUCCGGAGGAACACCAGUGGCGAAGGCGACACGCUGGGCCGUACCUGACACUGAUGCGCGACAGCAUGGGGAGCAAACAGG